rnacentral:lncRNA from 12 species
GGAACUCCGACUAGAGCUAGGGAAACAGUCAAUCAUGUAGUAUCCUGGGAUUCUUCAUUAACAUGGAUCUGAACAUUUAGGCUAAAAGGGGCAAUUUUUUAAUAUAAUCAAACUUUGCCAUGUAUCACAUUUUUCUUUUUUCUCUGGGUUAGUUCUUUUGUUCAAAAGUUAUAUUUAUAAAUUUCAUAUCCUGACACUAAAUAGCUAGAGAUCCUAAUCUGGAUAAACAAUCUAUAGAAGGGAAAAUGCAAGGGUUUUCAUAAGGGAUAUUUUGAUUUAAUUAAUAGUUUCAAGUAAAUAACAGUCACAAAGUCCAAUAAUCUUCACAGAGAUUUUAGUGGGAAACAAUGGCAUUUUAAAAACAUCAGUUACCAUUUUAGAACAAGAAUCAGAAAAGCCUACUUUGGCUGCUGAGGACGCAGAAUCCAAAGAAAUGGAAUCCAAAGGAAGAAUCCAAAGAAAUGUUGGCACACGGAGCUCAUGACCCACUUCUGAACUGAGCAGGAGCUGCACACAUCCCCAAACUCACACGUAGACCUACCUACCCACAGUGAAAAGGCGAACACACCAGAUCACCUUAAGUCGUCAUCGAUCUUGACAGCAAGUGUUCCUGGACGCAGGGAGCUCUAGGGCUCCAUGGGCACGGCCUAAGACUGUUCCGGUAGGUCAGCAGGGAUCACCCCUUAGAAGGUGAAAAUCUAGGUAUCUUCUAGGUCCAAAGGGUAUCUGGGAAGAGCCAUCCUUCCCUUGGAUUCAACCCCAAAGUUGAUCUCCAAUCAGCUAGCCUCCAAGGCUAAAGCUGAACUUAGUGCCUGAAACUGCCCACAAGUACCUCCUUCUGGAGUCAAGAAAAUAUCUAGUACUAAUCCUCUGUUUUCAAGAGCACUGAAUGCCCCAACCAGAUCUUAACCUCAACUCUUUGCCUUAGAUCCAAGCACACAGCACAAGGGGAGACUCUAACAAGCUUCCAAGAGUGCUCUGCUAUCGGCAUUUUUCCGAGAAAUAGACUGAGGUUCUCCUCCCUGGUGCAAAGAGACAAGGACAGCAGCAUGGGGUUGCUCCGUGUGGAAAUCCACAGACCAGGCCAGGCUGGAAAGUGUGGAUGACACUCAGAAGAGAGGCAGCUUUAGAAAGGAUGGUGGCCGUGAGAAGUCCCCGUAAGGAUUAACACGAUGGGAAUUGUUCACCUUUCCCUUUAAAAACGUUCCAUAUUAACAAAUUCUCAGCUCUAAAUCCUUUGGAAAUGUCUUGAAAGGAA